rnacentral:rRNA from 1 species
CAGUCGCCGCGGUAAUACAGAGGGUGCGAUCGUUAAUCGGAUUUACUGGGCGUAAAGCGUGCGCAGGCGGUUCGUUAAGACAGAUGUGAAAUCCCCGGGCUUAACCUGGGAACUGCAUUUGUGACUGACGGGCUAGAGUAUGGCAGAGGGGGGUAGAAUUCCACGUGUAGCAGUGAAAUGCGUAGAGAUGUGGAGGAAUACCGAUGGCGAAGGCAGCCCCCUGGGCCAAUACUGACGCUCAUGCACGAAAGCGUGGGGAGCAAACAGGAUUAGAUACCCCCGUAGUCCCUGUCUCUUAUAC